CGUUGAAACACCGAUUCCCGCACGAUCACUGAAGUUAAGCAACGUCGAUCUUGGUCAGUACCUACAUGGGUGACCGCUUCGGAAUAUAAGUUGCUGUAAU